AUUGAACGCUGGCGGCAUGCCUUACACAUGCAAGUCGAACGCGAAAGGGGGGCAACCCCCAAGUAGAGUGGCGAACGGGUGAGUAACACAUCGGAACGUGCCCAGUAGUGGGGGACAACCUCGAGAAAUCGAGGCUAAUACCGCAUACGACCCACGGGUGAAAGCGGGGGACCGCAAGGCCUCGCGCUAUUGGAGCGGCCGAUGUCCGAUUAGCUAGUUGGCGGGGUAAGAGCCCACCAAGGCGACGAUCGGUAGCUGGUCUGAGAGGACGACCAGCCAGACGGGGACGGAGACACGGCCCAGACUCCUACGGGAGGCAGCAGUGGGGAAUUUUGGACAAUGGGCGCAAGCCUGAUCCAGCCAUGCCGCGUGCGGGAAGAAGGCCUUCGGGUUGUAAACCGCUUUCGGCCGGAACGAAAUCGCCCGGGUGAAUAUCCCGGGUGGAUGACGGUACCGGAAGAAGAAGCACCGGCUAACUACGUGCCAGCAGCCGCCGUAAUAC
rnacentral:rRNA from 1 species